rnacentral:lncRNA from 10 species
AAGCGUAGGUGAUGAGCUUGAAUCAGGUAAGAAUUAUAUUCUACUUCCAGCUAAAGAAGAGGAUAUAGAAGAUCAAUAGCUUAAACAAAACAGAAGGGCAUGGACUGGAACUCCCAAUACCCCUGACAUGGGCUGAGUCAACGUGGUCAUGAACAUGUGACAGGAGGCAGCAGAAGUUGCAGAGAAGAGUGAGGCACGUUUGAAAAAGGCUGAAAAAUGUUUCUGUCCAGGCAAGGGUGUGUGCUGAAUGACUCAAGGAUUUUUUGGGCAACACAAACCAACACGAGCCGUGUGAGGAUCAGGUGACAGCUGCCCAAAAGCUGACACAAGGAACAAGCCUGGAGGAGUGAGGAUGGGUGCUGUGAAGGAGGUUGUGCAGCUGGGCCCGCAGUCGGACCUGGUGAGAUCAGAGGAGGGGGUGCCACCAGUCUGUGGACGAAGAUGAGAAGCUGGAAUAGAGCAGAAAACAGGAGGCUGCCACUCUCCAUCUUUCCCAAAGUCACUCCAGGAGCAAGGGUGUCAUUUACUGAAAUGACAGACUCUCCAUUUCACAUUUUUCCCCCAAGUGCAGAGUGCAGGGAAGCAGAUGGGCUAAAUUUUUAGAGUCAGGGUUAUUAAUGUAUACUUUACAUAGUAAACUUUCCCCUUUUAAGUGUGCAGGCCUGAGGUUUGCCAAAUAUGUGUAGGCAUUUAAUCACCACCACGAUCAAGAUGUAGAAUAUUCCCACUAUCAAAAAGUUUGCUGUGUCCCUUGAUGGUCAUGCCCCAUUCCACAGCCCCAGCCCCAGCCCCUGGAGAUUGCUGUCUGCUUUAUGUUCCAGUGGUUUUAUCUUUUCCAGACUGUAUGGAUGUGAAUGGAAUCAGAUGUGAUUCCAAGGUGUUUUAUCUUUUCCAGAUGUGAAUGGAAUCAGAUGUACGAAAUCCUAUGGUAGGGGGUCUUCUGAGUCUAGCUCCUUUUGUUUAGCGUGAUGCAUUUGAAAUUAAUCCAUGUCUCAGGCAUCAGGAGUUCAUUUCUUUUUCUGCUGAGUAGUAUUUCAUUGUAUGGAUGUACUGCAAUUUGCCUAUCCAUUCACCUGUUGAUGUACAUUUGAGAUUUUUGGCAAUUAUGAAUAAAGCUGCUAUAAACAGA